UUCUCUGGAGAAAUCGGUGGACACUUUUACCAUAGAAUUAAAGUUCGUGGAAGGAGAACUUGUCUUCAGUCUCAAUCACAGACACGGAAUAAAGAAGCAGUUCAACUUAACGUUCCAGGAAUGCGAGGGACUUAGUGCUAUCUUCAAUAAAAACUCUUCUGUCAUUCACAUCGUCUCAGACCAAAAGUUUCUAGGAGACUGCGUCGUACAUUUCCCUACUAAUGUGGCGGAGAUAACCCUAAACGCUAAACAUGACCACACGAUGCUCAGUAACUAUGUA